UACGUAGGGCGCAAGCGUUGUCCGGAAUUAUUGGGCGUAAAGAGCUCGUAGGCGGUUUGUCGCGUCUGCUGUGAAAUCCUAAGGCUCAACCUUGGGCUUGCAGUGGGUACGGGCAGACUAGAGUGCGGUAGGGGUGACUGGAAUUCCUGGUGUAGCGGUGGAAUGCGCAGAUAUCAGGAGGAACACCGAUGGCGAAGGCAGGUCACUGGGCCGCAACUGACGCUGAGGAGCGAAAGCAUGGGGAGCGAACAGG
rnacentral:rRNA from 1 species